UCGAGGCAAUGUACCUAUGACGAACUAUGUGUGUCAAUAAACAAGAUUAAAAACUGUGCCCUGACAAAUAAGCGUGAUAUAGGCGUCAACAAAAUAGAAAGUAAACUUUAACUUCGGAAUUUGAAUUUUAUGUUACUGUUAUUAUUAUCCUUUAAAUAGCUACACACUUUAUCUUUAGUUGAAUAUUGUGUUUUAUCCAAAAUAGAAAGUUAUGCUGGGAAUUUUUGUAUUGUAAUCAACUUCCUUGUUCAAAGAUUUCCGUUGUGUAUCAAUUUGUCGCAUAUCUUUUAAAUUAUGAUUUGGUUGACUGAUUUACUCAAAAUAUUGACGCUGUUUACAUUCAUGACGUUGUUUGGUUUGCUGUAAGGAGCAUAAAACCUCAUCACAUAUAUACUGUCCCUGUCUUUUUGCAAAUUUUUUUUUUGCUGGUUUUAAUUAAAAAUAAAUCUUGGUUACUAAACCCUGCUUUCGAAAGUUGGGAUUACUAGUGAUAAGAGACUCCGUCCAAUUGUACGUCCGUUCGUACAUCCGAUUAUUCUUUCUUUCGUCCGUUUGUCCGUCCAUCCGUCUUUUCGUUCAUUUGUCCGUUCGUCUGUUUGUAUAUCUGUCCCAAUCUAAUUAAAAACCGAUCUCUCAUCGCUCCUGUUUCGGAUAUGUCGCGUGGGAGAUCUAGCGAAACCCGCUUUGAGGUCACAUGUGAGUGACCUCGUAGGUGUGAUUUUUUCGACCAAUGAAAUUGAGUCUUCCACGAUCUUGAAAGUUUAAAAUAAGGCAAAGGGAUGUAACUCAUUUUAUUUACGACGAAAUCGUCAGUCAAAAUAAUUCAUUAACUUUUUUGAUUGGCUUAUUAAUAGGUCGUCAACUCAUUUGCAUAUCUUUAUAAAUUCAUAACUUUUAGUUCACUCACAUGUGACCUCAAAGUCGGUUUCGUUAGAUCUCCCACGCGACAUAUCAGAAAACGGGAGCGAUGAGAGAUCGGUUUUUAAUUAGAUUGUAUCUGUCCCAUAUUCGUAUUCACAACUAGCGAAGUGUUUAUGUCUUUUUUUUGUAUCUUCAUUUAAAUACAUAUUUACAACAAAAAAAAGACAGGAUAUGUUGGCCCGCAACCUGUUCCUGUAAAAUAGACAUACAUAUACAUUUUCUUUCUGUAGUAUUCAUAAAUAUAUACUUUGCUCUCCAAAUUCUCAAAUUUGCAUUAAACACAGUUUAAUAACUGAAUUGUAGUCUCCUUUGCAGAAACCUUCCUGAGUACUUGAUCAAAGACAUAUAUAUUUUAUCUAUAACAAAAUUUGAAACUUCUCAAAUCCGAGCAUAGAGUGAUGUCUUGCUUUUACUUUUACAUCUCAUGUAAAUUAUUAUACGUUUGCAAUAAAAGAUUUCACUCGGAUGAAAUUUAAGUUUAUUUACAUAGGCAUUUCAACAAGCAUUGUUGUAACGGUUUUAAACAUAACAUUGUUUGGAAAUCCCUCAUAUAUUUAACUACAUACCUAUUGUCUCUUUUCAAUCUCAUUCAUUAUCGGGUAUAUUGUUACCCCAAAAGACGUGAAAAUGUUUAUCUUACCUCAUUAAUUUGAACCACAAAAAUACCUUCAAAUCAAAAACGUAAAUUCCAGAAAACAUAUUUUGAAAUUAUCAUUAAAAUUACCUAUUUCAAAAGUAAUUUUCAGUUUUUAACAUGUAUAAAACUACUUUUUCAAACUAUUGACAUCAAGUGUAGAAAGUCAACAAAUUAAUUAAUCACUAGACCCUGUCAAAGUUACAUACAAAAAAAAGUAUUAUACAAAAUACCAAGCUCCAAGGUUAUUUCAAAUACGUCCAACUCUUAUACACCGUCUAGAAAAAGUCCCAAAAAGAAAAAUAUGAAUAAAAGUGUCAACAAGAUUGAAGCUACAAAACUACAACGUAAAAAUUCUCCGGUUAGUUUGCUAUAUGAUGACCCAAACGCAGUAAAAAGGAAGGCACAAAACCAAAGACCUGAGGUAGAUGAACAAAUACCGAGUCACGUCAAAAGUCAAUUUGAGAAAAGGAUCUUGGAUAAAACUCUGGCUCAUUUAUAUUUUGCUCAGACAUCGAUGACGUAUAACAAAAUUUUAGAAGCAGUCACGAGCUUUUGAAUAUCUUAUGAACUUAGCAAUAUAUAUUCCAUACGCGAAUGAAAUUGUUAUAUAAAUUGCUGCUAAGAUGAAGAAAAAAGAUAGUUACAUUGAAAUCGUUUUGUUUGUCAUAGAUUCGGGUACCUAGAUGAUCACUGAAGUAAACCUUGUAUUAUUUGACUUCAAUGACGAGACGGCAGUUGUCUGUGAUUUUUUCAAUAUCAGGUUCUGGGGGAAAUAUUUAUAGGGACCCAUUUGAGAAAAGUUUGCAAUGUUCACGAAAUGAACAUUAACACUUAACCUUUACUUAAAUUAAAAUGAUAUACCUUUUUUGAUCUAAUUAAUAUAUAAUUCAAUAAAGGUCGACAACGAAUCAAAAUCUACCUCUGGUUGGAACACACACUUGAUGAACCCACUUGGUUCAUAGCAAUAAACAUUGACAUUAUACCAUUGCUGUAUAGUACGUUUAUUUCAACAGAUGAGCUGUUUUUUGCAAUUGUAAGACUGAAAGGGAAUGUAUGGUAAAUUUAAAUGAGACAGACACCCAACGAAAAAAAACCAAAUACAUCUGUUUUCAGUUAACGACAGAUGUCUACACAAUAUGCUAAGCAUUACAAAGUACAUAUUCGUUUUAUUUGAUGAUUUGGUUUUACAAGAACCAAUAAACUAGAGGGUCCAAGGACCCUGUGUCGCUCACCUGAUAUUUUUAUUUACAAUUGAUGCAUGAUAAAUGCAACUGUUGUACUGUCGUUUAGUUUCAGAGAUAUAAUACUAAAAAGUGCAUUUGAAACUUGUUUUAUUUAAACCAAGUUUGUUUAAAUUUGACAGUUUUUUCAAGGGAGAAUUUUGUAAAAUUUAUCUAACGAGAAAUGCAAAGUAAUGAGAAAGUUAUGAAGUUGUUUUGUUGUUGCGCAACCCCCUGCUCCCCCUUUGCCAAAAAAAAACCCAAAUAUAAUAAAAAAUUAUCAUAUAAGGGCAAUCUCUCCUAUUAAUGAUUUCUGCAAAAUUCAGUUGAUUGUGCAAGGGUUGUAUAGCCAGCUGAGGUCGUUAAAAACUCUCUUUUGUUGUUGCAGAUAGAUCUUGACCUGAUAAACAAUUUUACCACAUGUCAGAUUUGCUCUAAAUGCUUUGGUUUUUGAGUGAUAAGCCAAAAACUGCAUUUUACCCCUAUGUUCUAUUUUUAGCCAUGGCGGCCAUCUUGGUUGGUUAGGCGGGUCAUCGGACACAAUUUUUAAACUAGAUACCCGAAUGAUGAUUGUGGCCAAGUUUGGUUUUAAUUUGGCCCAUAGUUUCAGAGGAGAAGAUUUUUGUAAAAAGAUAACUAAGAUUUACGAAAAAUGGUUAAAAAAUUGACUAUAAAGGGCAAUAACUCCUAAAGGGUCAACAGACCCAUUUUGGUCAUUUUGACUUAUAUUGUAGAUCUACUUUGCUGACAGUUUUGCUGUUACAGUUUAUCUCUAUCUAUAAUAAUAUUCAAAUAAUAACCAAAAACAGCAAAAAAUUUACUUAAAAUUACCAAUUCAGGGCAGCAACCUAAUCAACGGGUUGUCCGAUUCAUCUCAAAAAUUUCAGGCAGAUAGAUCUUGACCUGAUUAACAAUUUUACCCCAGUCAGAUUUGCUCUAAAUGCUUUGGUUUUUGAGUUAUAAGUCAAAAACUGCAUUUUACCCCUAUGUUCUAUUUUUAGCCAUGGCGGCCAUCUUGGUUGGUUGGCCGGGUCACCGGACACAAUUUUUAAACUAAGUACCCCAAUGAUGAUUGUGGGCCAAGUUUGCGUAAAAAUUGGCCCAGCAGUUUCAGAGGAGAAGAUUUUUGUAAAAGCUAACGACGGACGACGACGACGACGGACGACGGGCGACGGGCGACGGACGCCGGACGACGGACGCCGGACGACGGACGCCGGACGACGGACGACGGACGCCAAGUGAUGAGAAAAGCUCACUUGGCCCUUCGGGCCAGGUGAGCUAAAAAUCUACAAUUUAAAAAAAAAAUGCUGUUCAAAACGAAAAAAAGGAAAACAACACUUUAUAAAUUUAAUGCGUCUAAAAUGCCCUUCUGGAUUAAUUGAGUAAUGAAAGGGUAACUACUGAGUAUGAUAUAACUGCAUUCGGACAGUCAUACAUAAGUGGGGAAUGCUAAAACUAGGUAAUUUUUAUAGAUCUCAAACUUCGCUCUAUCUCUCAUAUCAAUCUAAAGAAUAUUAAACGUACAUUAAUGAACAAACAGUGAAUCCAGCCAAGCGAAGCUCUAUGUAUCAAAUAAUUGUUAAAUGAGAGAGAAAAGGAAUGUAAUAGCAUAAUAAUCUAUGGCAAAUUUGUGGACCAGAUACGUCAUCUGUAAAAUAAUAAUUGUUUUUUUUCAAAUUUGUUGUUAUUGGUUUUGGUAGGCGGCUUACUUAUGUAGUAAUUGCGUCUCAAACUUAUGUUACAUAAAUAUUAUGUGUAUACGCUCAUUUUGUAAUUUAUUUUAAGUUUUACAUUUUGGUGAGUAUUUAUUUGAAACAAUGACAAACAGGGUUGACUAUAAACCAAAAAAGAUAGUUCAUGAUGAAAUGUUAAAUAUUAACUGAUAGAUAUAAUGAAAUUGUUUUUAAAAUGCUAAAAACUGUACUCAGUUGAAAUGAUUAUCAGCUAGGAGUUUUGUUAGUAAAUUGACUGGAUUGGGACAUGGGCUUUCAUAUAUUUACUUUAACCCCCCCCCCCCAUUCCGCCCCUCACCAAAAAAAUAAAUUGUCUGACUUAAAAAUGAAUAUUUGUUCUUAUUUGAUGUUUUCAAUAUAGGCGUUUAUCGGUGUUCUCACUGUCUGUAUCACUCUGCUCAGUUCUUCGUAAAAAAAUGACGUCAAAUACGUUAACUGGACCUAAAUAACUUUGAUCUCAACGUUAUCAUUGACGUCAUAAUAAUUGAACGGUCGUUGAUAAUUAUGACUCAAACUUGUAUGUCAUCUUCCAAUUUGAUAGUUAAACAAAGAAAAAAAACACUUGUUUUUAUCAUCUAAAACAUACGUUUACAAUCCAAUAAAUCGAUUGUCAGGUUUUCAGUAAAAUAUCAGCUGCUCAACACAAUAUAGAGCUCACUCGACAGAAAGUUUCCUAUGGUAAAACACAGAUGAUUUAACAAUAUUUAUACACAUACAGCCUGAUAAGCGGUACAUUUCAUCUUGUAUCGUCAGAAUCGGAUUCAGACAUUUCGAACAAACAAACUAUUUAAAUGUUUAAAAGAGUUAUCUUCAUAUCUAAUAACGAAUAUUUAGAACUGGGGGAGGGUCUUACUGGAAAAAAAAAACAAACAUGUGUAAUAUAAUUUUAUAGUUUUCAGGAGUCCUAAUGGCUUCAGGAAAACAUAUAACAUGUGGUCCAUGUAGCUUUGAUGACGUCAUAAAGGAUGCUGGAAGAUGGUGCACUAAAUGUGAAGAAGGUUUGUGUGACGAUUGUGAAAAGGCUCACAGAAAAAGUAAAGCCUCCAGAAACCAUAAGCUGAUUUCAACAGAAGAUUAUCGAAAGAUUGAAAAUGUUUCCAUCUCUCAGGUCUGUGAGCAUCAUGGAGAAAACCUGGAGUGGUUCUGUAAAAGUCAUGACGAAGUCCUCUGUGUUGUUUGUGUCCCGUUAAAACACAAGGCAUGUUCUGAUGUUAUACCAAUAAGUGCUGACUCAGCAAAUUCAAGACAAUCAACUGCAUUAUCUGACCUAGAAGUGAUGAUUGAGGGAACUCUGCGUAACGUGAAACAAUGUAUCGAGAAUCGUGAAUCUGCUACAAGGAAACUCGAAAAACAAGAACUGGAGGUCAAAACGAUGGUUCUUGAAACAAGAACAAAAUUAAACGGUCAACUAGACAAACUACAGGAAAAGUUGUUAUAUGAAUUAAGAUCAACAUCUCAAAUAUGCAAAUCAAAAUAUGUAGAAAUUCUUCAGAAGCUAAAAUCAACAGAAGAAAUGCUAACCGAACUAAGGGAACAAACAAUACACAUAAAACAAUUUUCUUCUGAUAUACAGGUGUUUCUGGGAACGCGUCAGGUCAAUAAGCGGAUCGUACAUGAGGUAGAGUCCAUAAAGAGGGAAAUCGGUGCUGCCACGGACUAUGAAUUAAAAGUAUCUCUUGAUGGUCUAAUCGAAAAAUUAUCCAAUGAAGUUGAAGAGUUUGGUAAAAUAAUGGUGUCAGAAUCCGCAACCAACCUUGAUUUCAGAGAACCUAAAUUCGAUCAAGCUCAAAUGAAGAUCAACAUUCCAACGUCAAGAAACAUAUCAGACAUAAAACUUCAGUUAAUCAAAUCAUUUCAAAUGACGAGAAAGCAUGACUUAAAAGUUUCAAGUUGUGUCAUACUGUCCAAUGGAAGUUUGUUGAUGGCAAACGAUACAGACGAACAUAUUUUGAUGGAAUACAGUGAAGCAGGUGAACAUAAACGUGUCAUCCCAGUAUCUGGCCCGCCAUACGGUAUUACCGUGAUAGAUCAUGAUCGUAUAGUCGUGACCUACGGAACCGCAAGAUACCUAGAAAUCAUGAAUAACAAAUCUUUCAAAGUUGAGAAGAAAAUCAGUUUACAUAACGGUUGCUGGGGUGUAUCUCACGCGGAUAUGAAACUUUAUGUUGUACAAGGAGACAGUAUACAAGUCCUGGAUUUAUCUGAAAGACAAUUACAAACAUUGAAAACGGAAUCUAAAAAUGUAACUCGCAUCUAUUCGACCAAAGACAAGAUAGUUUACUCAGAUUGGAAGAACAGCAAAGUGCAUUGCUGUCUCCUGAAUGGUGAAGAAUUAUGGAAGUUCAAAAAUGACAACAUGAACUUUCCUAAAGAUAUAACAGCAGAUAGUUACAAUAACGUUUUCGUUGUGGGUUAUGGUUCCGAUAAUCUAACAAUUAUUCAACAUGACGGGAAAAACUGUAAGACAUUACUGACAAAAUCGGAUGGAAUUCUAAAGCCACGAACCGUGUUUUAUGACAAGGUUAAAAGAUCAUUGGUGAUAUGCAACAAUGAAGGAAAAGUGUUGUUGUACAAAGUCGUUUAGUGUUGCUAUCCUCGUACUUUAUUUGGAUUUUUUUUUACAUUUUUGGAUUCGAGCGUCACUGAUGAGUCUUUUGUAGACGAAACUCGCGUCUUUUUAGUGUUGCUAUCCUCGUAACACAUCCAUGAAUGAUCUGUGUGCCAGAACAUACUUACAUAGGACAAUAAAAGUUGUUUGAAGAUAAUGAUCAAUUUGCCUUCAUGAUGAAUUGAUAUAUAACUAUCUUUGAUUUUUAAGCUGUGAUAAUAAGUGAAAUAACAAAGAUACCAGACUCAAAGAUAUUUUAUUCUAAGCUGUGAAUUUCCAAGUAAAAUUUUGAAACAUUGUGUAUUGUGUUGCGUAGCGAUAUCAUUCAUCUAUUUUGUUGAAGAACCGUCGGUAUAAUUUUUCAUCGUAACAAGAAUAGGGAUUUUUUUCAUUCAGAAAUGGACUAAAUUUGUAAUGCAGACGAAGAUAUCUACUCCAUAAUCUAUAUUAAUGUAAAUAAGUGUUCCAACAAAUAAAACGAUAUGUUUUUGAUAAAAAAAAAAUCAAAAA
rnacentral:lncRNA from 1 species